rnacentral:tmRNA from 1 species
GGGGGCGUAAAGGCUUCGACGGGGAAUAGGAGUUUAAGUAAGCGAGUAGCAAGGUGGGACUGCUUUAAAAGCCACAUUUUUCAAUUAAAUGGAAAAACAACUUAUGGCGAUAAGCCAAAAAAACAACCAGCUUUAAGAUUAGUAUCCGGAGGAUGCAAAGCUUUAGCUGCAGCCUAAUUUAACUAGGCGACAUCUUAUUUUAGAGUACCGCGGCUAAUUUAAGGUGAAUAUUAGCGGUCAACGUGAACAGAAGAGCUUCUCGGCUUCUGUCAGGCAUCAGAGAAUACCGGAUUUAGAAGUUUGUCAGCGAACUGAUAUUUUCGGAAAAUUAAAUCGCUGAAUACACUCGUAGAAAGCUUAGGUAAAUAUUUUUCGGACAGGGGUUCAAUUCCCCUCGCCUCCACCA